AUGAAGCUGCAGAUUAUGAGGAAACGUUUAGUUCAGAAAGCUUUUGACAUGAUUUUGGGAAUAUCUAUGAGUGAUAACAGGGAGGACUAUGAGAAGUUCUGGGAGAAUUUUGGCAAACAUUUGAAAUUGGGUUGUAUUGAAGAUCGUGAGAAUCACAAACGCAUCGCUCCAUUGCUUAGGUUUUUCUCAUCCCAAAGCGAAGAAGAACUGAUCAGCUUGGAUGAAUAUGUUGAGAACAUGAAGCCUGAUUAAAAAGAUAUUUAUUACAUUGCAGCCGAUAGUGUGAAUAGUGCAAAGAACACACCUUUCUUGGAGAGACUUGCAGAGAAGGAUCUUGAAGUACUGUUUCUGGUGGAUCCAAUUGAUGAGGUUGCUAUUCAAAACCUCAAGUCAUAUAAGGAAAAGAAUUUUGUUGGUAUUAUCAAGGAAGACCUGGAUCUAGGUG